AGUGGGGAAUAUUGCACAAUGGAGGAAACUCUGAUGCAGCCAUGCCGCGUGUGUGAAGAAGGCUUUCGGGUUGUAAAGCACUUUCAGCGAGGAGGAAAGGGUGCAGGUUAAUACCCUGUAUCUGUGACGUUACUCGCAGAAGAAGCACCGGCUAACUCCGUGCCAGCAGCCGCGGUAAUACGGAGGGUGCGAGCGUUAAUCGGAAUUACUGGGCGUAAAGCGCGCGUAGGCGGUUAAUUAAGUCAGAUGUGAAAGCCCAGGGCUCAACCUUGGAACUGCAUUUGAAACUGGUUAACUAGAGUUUUGUAGAGGGUGGUAGAAUUUCAGGUGUAGCGGUGAAUGCGUAGAGAUCUGAAGGAAUACCAGUGGCGAAGGCGGCCACCUGGACAAAGACUGACGCUGAGGCGCGAAGGCGUGGGGAGCAAACGGGAUUAGAUACCCCGGUAGUCCACGCAGUAAACGAUGUCUAUUAGAAGUUUGUGGCUAUAUGCCGUGGGUUUCAAAGCUAACGCAUUAAAUAGACCNCCUNAAAAGUACGGCCGCAAGGUUA
rnacentral:rRNA from 1 species